UUAUAAAGCUGUCAUUAUCACAGGUACCUUAGUUGCUAUUGGACCGCGCUUACGACAUGUUGUUUAGUAAAUCCUUUUUCGUUCUCCUACUCAUACUUGGUACAUCAUGGUUAGCCUCAGCUUGCGGUUCAUCAUCACCGCCUCGUCAACAGAGAGCAAAACAAGAAGGAGGUCGAUCUAUUUAUGAUAUUCCUAAUCAACCCGAUGGAGAAAUAACAGCUGGUCUUUGGGUAGGAAAAGAAUAUUUUAGAUUACCUGAUGCGUCGUUCUACAAACUAGAAUUUAAAAAAGGCGAAUCGGUUUCAUCUUCACUCGUAACUAACCCGUUCCGUCCGAUGCAAAGACAAAUUAUUUUCCAAGAUCAACAUGUUAGAUUUAAUUAGAUAUUAAUAAUAAAUUAUUAAUUUACUGUGUGAGAUAAAUAAAUGUAUUUAAAAGUAGUCAUUUUAA